rnacentral:rRNA from 1 species
UACGUAGGGGCCUAGCGUUGUUCGGAAUUACUGGGCGUAAAGGGCGCGUAGGCGGUUUGCUAAGUUGGAUGUGAAAACUCUGGGCUUAACCCAGAGCCUGCAUCCAAAACUGGCAAACUUGAGUACUGGAGGGGAAAGCGGAAUUCCUGGUGUAGCGGUGAAAUGCGCAGAUAUCAGGAAGAACACCCGUGGCGAAGGCGGCUCUCUGGGACGGUACUGACGCUGAGACGCGAAAGCGUGGGGAGCGAACAGG